AGUGUCAAAGAGGCAGGAGUGGAGGUCUGCGGGGUGACAGGGUGUGGUCUGCCUGGAGCGGCGACGCGGGAGAGCGGGACAGAGGCCUGGGGCUGUGGAUGAUGCCUUGGUGUGCCCGGUGCGGUGACAGCGCGCAGCUGAGCGGCUACUAGGGUGUCCCGAGCUCGCCAAGUGCACAGCUCCAAGCUGUGCCAGCGACCUCGCGGGGCUCCGAAGCUGGACACCUGCGAGUGAGAAGCAAGAGGUGCUCAGCCUUCCCGGCAAGUGUUGUAAGAAGCAAAGACCAUCAGGAGUAAAAAGAAACUUGAAAACCAGAGAGCCAUCCAAAGAUAUCAACAAAGGAAACUGCUGGAAUCAAAGGAGAGAACAGCGGUGUGUACCUGGAGGAUCUCCAACCUGAGCAGUUGCCAGUUGACAUGGGAACUCUGAGGCCAG